ACAGUUACAGCUUCACAGCAAGAACCUUGAGAGCAAACUGCUGCUGAAGCUUAACCAUUACUUCACUGAGUGAAGAAAUGGCACAUUUUUGCUAAAUAUGCAGAAAUAAAUACAUAUGUUGAAGUUGCCUUGUUCUAAUGUUUUCUCUGAGGCUGCUGUGCCAUUUGGAGUAAAAAGUCAGAGAGCCGUGUCUCUCUACAGUCAGAGGUUUUUGUACGGCGCCUCAAUGAGUUUGUAUCACUGUGGUUCACGUUCGGUGGAGGAACCAGACUGGAAUUUGGAUGUGAUGUCCGUCCUGCCCUAACAGUGCUGCCG